GAUGAACGCUGGCGGCGUGCCUAAUACAUGCAAGUCGAGCGAACAGACGAGGAGCUUGCUCCUCUGACGUUAGCGGCGGACGGGUGAGUAACACGUGGAUAACCUACCUAUAAGACUGGGAUAACUUCGGGAAACCGGAGCUAAUACCGGAUAACAUGUUGAACCGCAUGGUUCAACAGUGAAAGACGGUUUUGCUGUCACUUAUAGAUGGAUCCGCGUUGCAUUAGCUAGUUGGUAAGGUAACGGCUUACCAAGGCAACGAUGCGUAGCCGACCUGAGAGGGUGAUCGGCCACACUGGAACUGAGACACGGUCCAGACUCCUACGGGAGGCAGCAGUAGGGAAUCUUCCGCAAUGGGCGAAAGCCUGACGGAGCAACGCCGCGUGAGUGAAGAAGGUCUUCGGAUCGUAAAACUCUGUUAUUAGGGAAGAACAAAUGUGUAAGUAACUAUGCACGUCUUGACGGUACCUUAUCAGAAAGCCACGGCUAACUACGUG
rnacentral:rRNA from 1 species